UACGUAGGGUCCGAGCGUUGUCCGGAAUUAUUGGGCGUAAAGAGCUCGUAGGCGGUUUGUCGCGUCUGCUGUGAAAUCCCGAGGCUCAACCUCGGGCCUGCAGUGGGUACGGGCAGACUGGAGUGCGGUAGGGGAGAAUGGAAUUCCUGGUGUAGCGGUGAAAUGCGCAGAUAUCAGGAGGAACACCGGUGGCGAAGGCGGUUCUCUGGGCAUUACCUGACGCUGAGGAGCGAAAGUGUGGGGAGCGAACAGG
rnacentral:rRNA from 1 species